rnacentral:rRNA from 1 species
CACGACUACGAGUUUGAUCCUGGCUCAGGAUGAACGCUAGCGGCAGGCUUAAUACAUGCAAGUCAAGGGGGUAGCAAUACAACCGGCGCACGGGUGAGUAACGCGUACACAACAUACCAUAUACUGGGGUAUAGCUUUGGGAAACUGAAGGUAAUCCCCCAUAACAUUGCGAGAGGGCAUCUGAUUGCAAUUAAAGUUUCGGCGGUAUAUGAUUGGUGUGCGUUUGAUUAGCUAGUUGGUAGGGUAACGGCCUACCAAGGCGACGAUCAAUAGCUGGCGUGAGAGCGCGACCAGCCACACUGGAACUGAGACACGGUCCAGACUCCUACGGGAGGCAGCAGUAGGGAAUAUUGGACAAUGGAGGAAACUCUGAUCCAGCCAUGCCGCGUGAUAGAUGAAGGCCCUCUGGGUUGUAAAUAUCUUUUAUCUGGGAAGAAACAAUCUUAUUCUUAAGAUCUUGACGGUACCAGAGGAAUAAGCACCGGCUAACUCCGUG